ACGUAGGAACCGAGCGUUAUCCGGAUUCACUGGGCGUAAAGCGCGUGUAGGCGGUUCUAUAAGUCGGGUGUGAAAGCUCUUGGCUUAACCAAGGGAGGGCGUUUGAUACUAUAGGACUUGAGGGUGGGAGAGGGUGGCGGAAUUCCCGGUGUAGGAGUGAAAUGCGUAGAUAUCGGGAGGAACACCAGUGGCGAAGGCGGCCACCUGGACCACAACUGACGCUGAGGAGCGAAAGCGUGGGGAGCAAACAG
rnacentral:rRNA from 1 species